ensembl:lncRNA
AUGACGGUCCUCCCAUUUGGCAACCUCAAUACCCUCACAAGCCAGCCGCUGCAUAAGGGAUCAAAGAACACGCCCAUUCUUCCUGUAGAAAAGACAGGGACUGGUAAAUAUCGCAUGGCACAUGACCUCAGAAAGAUAAAUUACAUACUGGUACCCACUACAGUACCUGUCCCGAAGCCCAAAACGGGGCGUCUCCUCAGGAGAAAACAGUGUGGAAGCAAAGAGGGGCUACAGAGGUUGGAGGCCUCUGGAGGUCCCCUGAUCGUCGCCCAGUGCUGCCGCCGGGCAUCAGAAACAAGUGUCGAGGAGGCACAUGGGAUGGCUCAUGUGGGGCUGAAACACGCGUUUGGUACAGUAUAUCACCCACAAUCGCAAGGCAAAGUAGAACGCAUGAACCAAAACUUGAAACAAAAAUUGUCUAAAAUCUGUGCACAGACAAAUUUAACCUGGGUUCAAGCGCUCCCACUCGCGUUAAUGGCCAUUAGAAGCUCAGUAAAUCAGGGUACGAACUGACCACCGGGAGACAGUUCCCUGGACCCAGUGCCGGCCUGAAGCUUAGGCCCAACCCGGAAGCUCCGCCAGGUGAGUAUGCAAGUCAUUAUAACGAUCUACAAGCUCUCGUUUCAGAUUUUGCGGACCAGGUGCGAGACAAAACGGGAUCAGAACGCCCACAACCCCCACACGGCAGCCUGGAUCCUCCUGAAGGUCAUUAAGAGAAAGUGGUCAGAGACGCGGUGGAUAGGACCAUAUCAGGUGGAGGAGAGAACCUCACAUGCAGUGAGGCUGAGAGGGAAAGGUGAUACCUGGUACCACUGGAGCCAGUGUGCCACCGAAGAGGAACCAGCUCGCACUCUCCAGGACGUCCUGAAGGAUCAGGAGCAAGAGGCGGCAACGGGCACCGGAGGGUCGCCAAACGCCUGGAAAGGAGGCGAGAACUCAGAUGAGGAGGCUGAUCCAGCAGACGUUCUCCAAUAGCUGGGGUGAUCUCUGAAGAGAUCAAAAGGGGGAAUUGUGAGAUGCAUGUACUGGUAAAAUAUAUUAUAACAUUGUUUUGUGCUAAGGCCGUGUCUCAAGUGUCCUGUAUUUGUCCCUGUUGUGCAAGGAGCAACAUGAUGCAGAAUGAUAGUUUGCAGCUGUUCAUGGCCUUGGUUCAUAUCUUAUUCGGUACGAAAGAUCCGGAUCCACGUUUUUACUUUAUGGCAAUUAAUUAUGAUUUGGACCGGCCACUGAGGAUGAUCUUGCUGUGUGUGUGCGCUACCCUCAGCUUCACUGGCACUGGUCUUCAUGUGUAUAAAAACUCAGCGGUUUUACUGCUUGGAGACGCCAUUACACCGAACGCUGAGAUACGUGCUUGUGUGUUUGACCUCCAGCUUGCAAGCAAUAGUUAGAGCCAGAUAUCUGCAGAGAAUUGCUCAUGUAAUCUUUUUCUCUUCAAAAUAAAUCAAUGUGCUGGAUCCUUCUCAUCAACCGACUCGGGGGGAUCGGAGAUCCCGACACUUGACUACUUAAAGUAAAAACUACUAUCUUACUGCUGACUAGAAAAAGAAUGGAGAUCCAGACUGCUGUGAGUAGCUUAAAAGAGGAGUCCAGCCAAUUAAAGGAGAUUCACGUUUUUAAAGCAACAUUCCAAAGACUGUUGAAAUCCUGAGGACCUGAUGCAAGCAGAACGUUAUCUUGUGCAGUCAAAGACAAAGCUUUGAAGAACUAUCUACGCUAGAGGCUCGUAAAAUGGUGUUAAAAGAAGUAGUCAUCUGUACAAACUGGACGAUGGUCGUCUGAUUAGACUAGCGAUGCCUGAACAGGCCAAGCACCCAGUUAUUCUCUCGAAAGACCUGCACAUAUCCACACUUUUGCUACGACAUAUCCAUGGACAAAUUGGCCACGGAAGAAGAAAUCAUAUGCUGUCCCGACUCCGUAAAAAAUAUUGGACUAUCAAAGCUAACGCGGCAGCAAGAAGGAUCAGAUCAUAGACUACGAAUUGGAGUCCACAGAUCAAAAUCAACCGGUAUGUUCAUCGAUUUAUACAAUUUACUGCAAUAAAACUAC